rnacentral:rRNA from 1 species
AACACUGGCUUUCGGAGCUAACGCGUUAAGUAGACCGCCUGGGGAGUACGGUCGCAAGAUUAAAACUCAAAUGAAUUGACGGGGGCCCGCACAAGCGGUGGAGCAUGUGGUUUAAUUCGAUGCAACGCGAAGAACCUUACCUACUCUUGACAUCCACGGAAUCCUGCAGAGAUGCGGGAGUGCCUUCGGGAACCGUGAGACAGGUGCUGCAUGGCUGUCGUCAGCUCGUGUUGUGAAAUGUUGGGUUAAGUCCCGCAACGAGCGCAACCCUUAUCCUUGUUUGCCAGCACUUCGGGUGGGAACUCCAGGGAGACUGCCGGUGAUAAACCGGAGGAAGGUGGGGACGACGUCAAGUCAUCAUGGCCCUUACGAGUAGGGCUACACACGUGCUACAAUGGCAUAUACAGAGGGCAGCAAGACCGCGAGGUGGAGCGAAUCCCACAAAGUAUGUCGUAGUCCGGAUUGGAGUCUGCAACUCGACUCCAUGAAGUCGGAAUCGCUAGUAAUCGUGGAUCAGAAUGCCACGGUGAAUACGUUCCCGGGCCUUGUACACACCGCCCGUCACACCAUGGGAGUGGGCUGCACCAGAAGUAGAUAGCUUAACUUCGGGAGGGCGU